rnacentral:rRNA from 1 species
GACGAACGCUGGCGGCGUGCUUAACACAUGCAAGUCGAACGGAAAGGCCCUGCUUUUGUGGGGUGCUCGAGUGGCGAACGGGUGAGUAACACGUGAGUAACCUGCCCUUGACUUUGGGAUAACUUCAGGAAACUGGGGCUAAUACCGGAUAGGAGCUCCUGCUGCAUGGUGGGGGUUGGAAAGUUUCGGCGGUUGGGGAUGGACUCGCGGCUUAUCAGCUUGUUGGUGGGGUAGUGGCUUACCAAGGCUUUGACGGGUAGCCGGCCUGAGAGGGUGACCGGCCACAAUGGGACUGAGAUACGGACCAGACUGCAACGGGAGGCAGCAGUGGGGAAUAUUGCACAAUGGGGGGAAGUGUGAUGCAGCGACGCCGCGUGCGGGAUGACGGCUUUCGGGUUAUAAACCGCUUUCGCCUGUGACGAAGCGUGAGUGACGGUACUGGGUAAAGAAGCACCGGCUAACUACGCG